UUAUUUUUAUUUUAUAGUUUACUGUUGUUAUUAAGUAACGUCCUUCCAAACCCGUUCCGCCAAACCCGUCCCGUAAAAAAACUCCGCAGUACACCGCUAAUUUAAAUAUAUAAUGAAAAUAAAUGUUUUACGGGAUUGCAAUUGUAUUUUAGUUUAA
rnacentral:sRNA from 1 species